AUGUCCGUGGAACGUGCACGGAAAGGUUUUCGGAAAACGGAACCGUUGGUCGCAGGUUCGAAUCCUGCCGGGUAUA
rnacentral:tRNA from 1 species